rnacentral:rRNA from 1 species
GGAUGCGAUCAAUACCAGCACUAAUGCCCACCGGAUCCCAUCAGAACUCUGAAGUUACACCGCGUGCUUGUGUGCGAGAGUAGUUACUAGAUGGGUGACCCCUUGGGAAGUCCCUGUCCAUCCC